AGAGUUUGAUCCUGGCUCAGAUUGAACGCUGGCGGCAUGCCUUACACAUGCAAGUCGAACGGCAGCACGGGGGCAACCCUGGUGGCGAGUGGCGAACGGGUGAGUAAUACAUCGGAACGUGUCCUGUAGUGGGGGAUAGCCCGGCGAAAGCCGGAUUAAUACCGCAUACGCUCUACGGAGGAAAGGGGGGGAUCUUAGGACCUCUCGCUACAGGGGCGGCCGAUGGCAGAUUAGCUAGUUGGUGGGGUAAAGGCCUACCAAGGCGACGAUCUGUAGCUGGUCUGAGAGGACGACCAGCCACACUGGGACUGAGACACGGCCCAGACUCCUACGGGAGGCAGCAGUGGGGAAUUUUGGACAAUGGGGGCAACCCUGAUCCAGCAAUGCCGCGUGUGUGAAGAAGGCCUUCGGGUUGUAAAGCACUUUUGUCCGGAAAGAAAAC
rnacentral:rRNA from 1 species